UACGGAGGGUGCAAGCGUUAUCCGGAUUCACUGGGUUUAAAGGGUGCGUAGGCGGGUUGGUAAGUCCGUGGUGAAAUCUCCAAGCUUAACUUGGAAACUGCCAUGGAUACUAUCAAUCUUGAAUAUCGUGGAGGUAAGCGGAAUAUGUCAUGUAGCGGUGAAAUGCUUAGAUAUGACAUAGAACACCAAUUGCGUAGGCAGCUUACUACACGAUCAUUGACGCUGAGGCACGAAAGCGUGGGGAGCAAACAG
rnacentral:rRNA from 1 species